rnacentral:rRNA from 1 species
AAAUUGAAGAGUUUGAUCAUGGCUCAGAUUGAACGCUGGCGGCAGGCCUAACACAUGCAAGUCGAACGGUAACAGGAAGCAGCUUGCUGCUUUGCUGACGAGUGGCGGACGGGUGAGUAAUGUCUGGGAAACUGCCUGAUGGAGGGGGAUAACUACUGGAAACGGUGGCUAAUACCGCAUAACGUCGCAAGACCAAAGAGGGGGACCUUCGGGCCUCUUGCCAUCAGAUGUGCCCAGAUGGGAUUAGCUUGUUGGUGAGGUAACGGCUCACCAAGGCGACGAUCCCUAGCUGGUCUGAGAGGAUGACCAGCCACACUGGAACUGAGACACGGUCCAGACUCCUACGGGAGGCAGCAGUGGGGAAUAUUGCACAAUGGGCGCAAGCCUGAUGCAGCCAUGCCGCGUGUAUGAAGAAGGCCUUCGGGUUGUAAAGUACUUUCAGCGGGGAGGAAGGUGUUGCGGUUAAUAACCGCAGCAAUUGACGUUACC